AUUGAACGCUGGCGGCAUGCUUUACACAUGCAAGUCGAACGGUAACAGGCCGCAAGGUGCUGACGAGUGGCGAACGGGUGAGUAAUGCAUCGGAACGUGCCCAGUCGUGGGGGAUAACUACUCGAAAGAGUAGCUAAUACCGCAUACGAUCUAUGGAUGAAAGCGGGGGACCGUAAGGCCUCGCGCGAUUGGAGCGGCCGAUGUCAGAUUAGGUAGUUGGUGGGGUAAAGGCUCACCAAGCCAACGAUCUGUAGCUGGUCUGGGAGGACGACCAGCCACACUGGGACUGAGACACGGCCCAGACUCCUACGGGAGGCAGCAGUGGGGAAUUUUGGACAAUGGGCGCAAGCCUGAUCCAGCAAUGCCGCGUGCAGGAAGAAGGCCUUCGGGUUGUAAACUGCUUUUGUACGGAACGAAACGGCUCUGGUUAAUACCCGGGGCUAAUGACGGUACCGUAAGAAUAAGCACCGGCUAACUACGUG
rnacentral:rRNA from 1 species